AAUAAGUGCAGUUUUGCACUAUUCACGUUCAACGUUUGACCGUCCGUCUUAUUUAAAAAUUUUUUAUGAUUAGUAUUUUUAUUGCUAUUAGAUGAUAAAACAUGAAUAGUACUUUAUGUGUGACUAAAUGUUUUUAAUUUUUUCACAAAUUUUUCAAAUAAGACGGACGGGUCAAACGUUAAACGUGAAUAGUGCAAAACUGCACUUAUU
rfam:Oryza rufipogon genomic scaffold, chr03